UCCUCAUAACUGCCCUUAAACCAUCCUCUUCCAAAUUCAAAAACCGUUCAAAAAAUUAUUAGUGUAGCCCCAUUCUUCUUCUUUCACAAUCCAUUUUCCCCCAAAUUCCUUUUCACUUUGCCUCAUAAUUAUGUUCCCCAAAUUCCUUUUCGCUUUUCCUUUACAAAUUCUUAGUAUCAAAAUACUUUAUUCAAAUAUAAUUACAGAAAUGACAAAACUUACCACAAAUGGAGAGUUGUAUGUGCGAAUCAGAGGGAUCCCGAUUGAAGAUUUGUGUUGGGCUGUAUGUACGUGAUGGUGAAAGACGUCGGUUCUGGGUGGAUCGCGGCCGUAGCCGCUGAUGAUGGUGGUGGUCUACGUGGGUUAUCACGGUUUGAAGCGGCAUGAUGUGGAGGUUACGCCCGGUGUUUUGUCGGAAACGUUGGUAGUUCUCCCGUGUGUUUUCGGAUAUGUUUUGGUUCCUUCUAUACCACCGCUUUUUUUAUUUUUUUCUUUUUUACUCUGUUGUGUUGUAACUUGCAGGCUGCAUCUCAUAAUUUUUUCCAGGUUUUUUGAAUUGGGUUGAUUAAUGAUGAUUGUUGGUAUACGGUUGUUAUUCUAUUUUGAUGCAGGUUUUUGUGUGUAGUUUGGUGAAAGUUAUAUAGCAACGUGUGUGUAGUGUGAUCAUGGUGGUGCAAGGGCGGUCUCUUAAAGGAUGAUGCUGAUUGGGAAAGGUUAGGAGUGAAAACGGGUCAAAAGCUAAUGAUGAUGGGAAUUGUCGAUGAAAUUGUGAAAACUCCAGAGAAAGGAACAGUUUUUGUUGAAGAUCUUCCUGAAGAAGAACAAGUAGCUACUGUUGUAAGUUUCAAGUUUUUCUUAUUAUAUCAGCUAAUUGCCCCACCCAAACAAGUAUCUUUUCAAGUCUUUGUCUUGAUGUAAAUUCAGUGGUAGAUCAAAGAAUGUUAAUCGUAUUGCUCCACUCCGAAGCCAACGUUCAAUUCUUCUAAAAGAAGAAUCAACAGAAUUCAGCAGUCAAGUCACAAUUAAUGUUGCAAUUGAAUACAAAUUGAUUUCUAUGGAUUUGUUGGUUGGUUAUCAUUUUUGUGUUCAGAUUCAUUAUUUACCAGGUGUCUUAACAUCGGGAAGCUCACGAAAAGUUGAAGGUGGGAAGUGUUGAUGUGUUAAACCACUACUAUGCCCGUGGAGAAGAGAAUGAAAAUUUUCAGAGGCGAAGCUAUUGGAUGCUUGAACCGCAUGGAUAAUCAACAAAUGCUUGAUCCCGAUGUUCAGAACUGGCCUAUUGAACAUGCAUUGUAUUUCACCAACUAUUUCAUGAAUUACACAGUUUGCUUUUCAUGAAUUUCACAGUUUGCUCGUACGGGUCCUAUCACCUGACAUAGUGAUAACAAGAAAUCAUGAUCACCGUCGUCGUCUUCUUCCAAUUCUCCCCACCUUAUCUACGCCUCUUCGUUUGGAUAAACCAUGACUUCAGUUGUUCUUAGGCUGCUGGGAAUGAGAAUUUAAGUAAGGUUUUCUUAGCAAUCUGUUUCAUUCACUUGAUUUGAUAUUGAAUAUAGCGCAUGGAUACUUUUAUAUACUGUUUCCUUUAUGACUAAUAUUGAUAUUGAGGGAUGAAACAUUCUUUGCAGUAGUUCUUUAAUGGUCAUCAGGUACACAAAUAUAUAACAAAAGUAAAUGGGAAAUGAUGGUCUGUCUAACCGUGUAAACAUUUUUAAGCAUAAGGACAUACUUGAUACGAAAAAACAAUGCUGGACUACGUUGAUAAACAAAAUUAUGAUGAAGGACCUAAGAUACAAUUUUGUCAAUGGUGGACGCCCGAUACUUUGGCAUAAUAUGCGAGAAGAAGCUGUUAUUUACAUCAAUGGGAAACCGUUUGUUUUUUGUUAAGUUGAAAGACCAUACAAAAACAUGCGGGAAUACACGGAUGACUCCACGCUUUGGUAUAAAUGACUCCACGCUUCCUAAGUGUUCAUUGAACUCACCUAUAAAUUUGCUCAUAAGUGUGUUGCGCCUUCAUACUGUGACAAUAAGAAUGAUUAUUCAUCUAUGUUGCUAUUGUUCAUAUUGACAGGGAGGCGAAAAGAUACUGUCAGCAGUGUGGAAAGUUUCAUGUUUUAUCAGAUUUUGACGAAGGGAAAAGGAGCUGUAGAAGGAAACUGGAGCGGCAUAAUACUAGGAGGCGGAGAAAGCCUGCAGAUUCUGCUGCUGCAGUUGAUCAUGAAGUUCAAACUGUUACUCAGAAUGAUGAUUCAAAUUGUGAUGGAGAAACAUGGAUAGCAACUUGCUGUUGGGUCCUCAACUCCAGAGACCCAUAAUAUUAAUGGGGAGAGUAGUGUGUCCUUUGUUGCUUCUGCUGAAACACAAGCAAAUAUUGGAAAUCAUGUUUCCAAUCUUUCCAAAUCUCCUACAUAUUGUGACAAUAAGUUGAGAUCGACACUUAAUAUGUGCUGAUUAAGCCGAUUGGUCGGGGAGCGUAUGGGAUUGUGUGUUCUUCUGUUAAUAGGGAGACAAAGGAGAAAGUUGUGAUCAAGAAGAUACAGAACGCGUUUGAGAAUCGUGUUGAUGCACAUAGAACUUUGCACUUUUGUAAAUACAAAUCAAAGUUAAAAGGCUAAAAUUUAAUAAUCUGCCUUCAACAAUGAAUCAUGGUCAAACUACUCAUGCAUUUAAACAUACUGCUGCAACUUCCUUAGCUAAUCUAAAGGUUUCGGCAUUGCUGCGUGGCAUCCCGUUUCGGAAGGGGUUUGUUGGAAGCUUAGCAGUGCAUCUAUGGUGCAAUAGGUCUGAUUGCACAUGUUUCUUUUAAACUCUAUUGUGUUCAGAAAAACCAAGUACUUCAUAUGAUGCUGAUAGCGGUAUGGGUCCACCACACCUUGAUGAUUGUCUCAAAAUCAAUGUUAAGUCUCCAAAGUUGAUGACAAUGAUGAUGAAGAAAAUUCCUGCAAUAGUCCUCCUUCCAUACAUAUUCAUGAUGAUGAAAUGAACUUAAAAAAUCUCAUUUGUUGUGCACCUGCUGUUGUAAGCUUCUUUGGAAUUCUACUUCUUUUUUUGGAUUCCAGUUAUUUGACUUGAAAUACACUGCACAAUUUAGUUUCUUUAGUUAUUGUGAUAGAAUAUAUAUUUA